rnacentral:rRNA from 1 species
UUAGAGUUUUGAUCCUGGCUCAGGAUGAACGCUGGCGGCGUGCUUAACACAUGCAAGUCGAACGAUGAAGCCCAGCUUGCUGGGUGGAUUAGUGGCGAACGGGUGAGUAACACGUGAGUAACCUGCCCUUGACUCUGGGAUAAGCCUGGGAAACUGGGUCUAAUACCGGAUAGGAACGUCCACCGCAUGGUGGUUGUUGGAAAGAUUUAUCGGUCAUGGAUGGACUCGCGGCCUAUCAGCUUGUUGGUGAGGUAAUGGCUCACCAAGGCGACGACGGGUAGCCGGCCUGAGAGGGUGACCGGCCACACUGGGACUGAGACACGGCCCAGACUCCUACGGGAGGCAGCAGUGGGGAAUAUUGCACAAUGGGCGAAAGCCUGAUGCAGCGACGCCGCGUGAGGGAUGACGGCCUUCGGGUUGUAAACCUCUUUCAGUAGGGAAGAAGCGAAAGUGACGGUACCUGCAGAAGAAGCACCGGCUAACUACGUGCCAGCAGCCGCGGUAAUACGUAGGGUGCGAGCGUUAUCCGGAAUUAUUGGGCGUAAAGAGCUCGUAGGCGGUUUGUCGCGUCUGUCGUGAAAGUCCGGGGCUUAACCCCGGAUCUGCGGUGGGUACGGGCAGACUAGAGUGCAGUAGGGGAGACUGGAAUUCCUGGUGUAGCGGUGGAAUGCGCAGAUAUCAGGAGGAACACCGAUGGCGAAGGCAGGUCUCUGGGCUGUAACUGACGCUGAG